rnacentral:rRNA from 1 species
GAUGAACGCUGGCGGCGUGCCUAAUACAUGCAAGUCGAGCGAACAGAUGAGGAGCUUGCUCCUCUGACGUUAGCGGCGGACGGGUGAGUAACACGUGGAUAACCUACCUCUAAGACUGGGAUAACUUCGGGAAACCGGAGCUAAUACCGGAUAAUAUAUUGAACCGCAUGGUUCAAUAGUGAAAGACGGUUUUGCUGUCACUUAUAGAUGGAUCCGCGCCGCAUUAGCUAGUUGGUAAGGUAACGGCUUACCAAGGCAACGAUGCGUAGCCGACCUGAGAGGGGGAUCGGCCACACUGGAACUGAGACACGGUCCAGACUCCUACGGGAGGCAGCAGUAGGGAAUCUUCCGCAAUGGGCGAAAGCCUGACGGAGCAACGCCGCGUGAGUGAUGAAGGUCUUCGGAUCGUAAAACUCUGUUAUUAGGGAAGAACAAAUGUGGAAGUAACUAUGCACGUCUUGACGGUACCUAAUCAGAAAGCCACGGCUAACUACGUG